GACGAACGCUGGCGGCGUGCUUAACACAUGCAAGUCGAACGGAAAGGCCCUGCUUUUGUGGGGUGCUCGAGUGGCGAACGGGUGAGUAACACGUGAGUAACCUGCCCUUGACUUUGGGAUAACUUCAGGAAACUGGGGCUAAUACCGGAUAGGAGCUCCUGCUGCAUGGUGGGGGUUGGAAAGUUUCGGCGGUUGGGGAUGGACUCGCGGCUUAUCAGCUUGUUGGUGGGGUAGUGGCUUACCAAGGCUUUGACGGGUAGCCGGCCUGAGAGGGUGACCGGCCACAUUGGGACUAAGAGACGGCGCAGACGCCUACGGGAGGCAGCAGUGGGGAGUAUUGCACAAUGGGCGGAAGCCUGAUGCAGCAACGCCGCGUGCGGGAUGACGGCUUUCGGGUUGUAAACCGCUUUCGCCUGUGACGAAGCGUGAGUGACGGUAAUGGGUCAAGAAGCAUCGGCUAACUACGUG
rnacentral:rRNA from 1 species